CGAGCGGAAGGCCCUUCGGGGUACUCGAGCGGCGAACGGGUGAGUAACACGUGAGCAACCUGCCCCUGACUCUGGGAUAAGCCCGGGAAACUGGGUCUAAUACCGGAUACGACCGCCUCCGGCAUCGGGUGGUGGUGGAAAGUCUUUUCGGUUGGGGAUGGGCUCGCGGCCUAUCAGCUUGUUGGUGGGGUAGUGGCCUACCAAGGCGACGACGGGUAGCCGGCCUGAGAGGGCGACCGGCCACACUGGGACUGAGACACGGCCCAAACUCCUACGGGAGGCAGCAGUGGGGAAUAUUGCGCAAUGGGCGGAAGCCUGACGCAGCGACGCCGCGUGGGGGAUGACGGCCUUCGGGUUGUAAACCUCUUUCAGCAGGGACGAAGUUGACGUGUACCUGCAGAAGAAGCGCCGGCUAACUACGUGCCAGCAGCCGCGGUAAUACGUAGGGCGCAAGCGUUGUCCGGAAUUAUUGGGCGUAAAGAGCUCGUAGGUGGCUGGUCGCGUCUGCCGUGAAAGCCCGCAGCUUAACUGCGGGUCUGCGGUGGAUACGGGCCGGCUAGAGGUAGGUAGGGGCAAGUGGAAUUCCUGGUGUAGCGGUGAAAUGCGCAAAUAUCAGGAGGAACACCGGUGGCGAAGGCGGCUUGCUGGGCCUUACCUGACGCUGAGGAGCGAAAGCGUGGGGAGCGAACAGGAUUAGAUACCCUGGUAGUCCACGCUGUAAACGUUGGGCGCUAGGUGUGGGGAUCUUCCACGAUCUCCGUGCCGGAGCUAACGCAUUAAGCGCCCCGCCUGGGGAGUACGGCCGCAAGGCUAAAACUCAAAGGAAUUGACGGGGGCCCGCACAAGCGGCGGAGCAUGUUGCUUAAUUCGACGCAACGCGAAGAACCUUACCAAGGUUUGACAUCACCCGGAAAGCUCUGGAGACAGGGCCCUCUUCGGACUGGGUGACAGGUGGUGCAUGGCUGUCGUCAGCUCGUGUCGUGAGAUGUUGGGUUAAGUCCCGCAACGAGCGCAACCCUUGCUCCAUGUUGCCAGCAGGCGCUUCGGCGUGCUGGGGACUCAUGGGGGACUGCCGGGGUCACUCGGAGGAAGGUGGGGAUGACGUCAGUCAUCAUGCCCUUAUGUCUGGGCUGCAACAUGCU
rnacentral:rRNA from 1 species